rnacentral:tRNA from 1 species
AGCUUUAUAUUCAAUAAUGAUUUUAAAUUGCAAAUUUAAAGGGAAAGGAUUACUUUUAAGGCUU